UGGUCCUACGAGGUGCAGCAGUGGGGAAUAUUGCACAAUGGGGGAAACCCUGAUGCAGCAACGCCGCGUGAGUGAAGAAGGUUUUCGGAUUGUAAAGCCCUAUCAGCAGGGAAGAAAAUGACGGUACCUGACUAAGAAGCCCCGGCUAAAUACGUGCCAGCAGCCGCGGUAAUACGUAUGGGGCAAGCGUUAUCCGGAUUUACUGGGUGUAAAGGGAGCGUAGGCGGCCUGGCAAGCCUGAUGUGAAAUACCGGGGCCCAACCCCGGGGCUGCAUUGGGAACUGCCAGGCUGGAGUGCCGGAGAG
rnacentral:rRNA from 1 species